CACGUAGGGGGCGAGCGUUGUCCGGAUUCAUUGGGCGUAAAGAGCUCGUAGGCGGCUCAGUAAGUCGGGUGUGAAACCCUCAGGCUCAACCUGGGGACGCCACUCGAUACUGCUGUGGCUAGAGUCCAGUAGAGGAGUGUGGAAUUCCCGGUGUAGCGGUGAAAUGCGCAGAUAUCGGGAGGAACACCAACGGCGAAGGCAGCACUCUGGGCUGGAACUGACGCUGAGGAGCGAAAGCGUGGGUAGCAAACAGG
rnacentral:rRNA from 1 species